CCAUUCAUCCGUGGGUUCUUAGGGUUCCCAAGAUUUUUCUUCCUCGCAGCUGCAAGGUGUCCGGCUUUCCCAAAGCUUCUGCUCCCCCAUGGCCGCCGAGCGUCGAAUCUAGCAAACUGAAACCACCCACGAGCGUAGCAGCAAGGGCGACUCCAUCAACUGUCCAUGCAUGCUCAACCAUCGCCAACUGUUGAAUCUCUUCCUGAACGACCAGUUGGUAGAUUCGGCCGAGUGGUGGCGUCGGCUCCAUCGUCAGGAUUUGUGACCUAAAGUCAUUCCUCGGCCGCCUCGAGCUCGUUCCAAAGAGCCGAGAGCCGAUUGAAGCAAGCGGUAACCAUGAGGUUCCCCUGCUUCAAAUCGAAGAGAGCCUGUGUUAUGGUGAAUAGCUUCACCCGAUCUAGCCGUCCGUACAUCUCACGGAUGCUUUCCCAGUAGGUUCUCGAGUCCUCUGUUGGAGGGAGUCUUGCUGUAAUGUCCGGCGCAAGGCAGUUUCGAUCCAGGUACGUACCAAUUGAUUACACCGUCGCCAAUGCCGUUGAAGCCGUUCAUCUAUUAGGUAGGGCACGGAUUCGUCGAGAAAAACCCUCUUUGUCUUUGGUGAUGAGGACUCUAUGGAAAUCACGCGCCCAGGUGCUGUAGUUGUCGAGGCCGGUGAGUUGUAGCUGGAUGAGUUUCAGAUCUGGCCCAUCUGCCGGUGAAGUGAAAAGAGGGUCACCGACUUCGAGUCGACUGUUGCUACCAAAAGGAAACAGGUACGGUGCAUAGCCGGAUCCAAAAAACGGGUACGGGUUUGGUCCUUGACCCGGUAUGGACCCGAACCCUUGACCCUGUGUAGCACCAUUUCCUUGGUUCGGAUCCCUCCGAUCCGAUUCUUGACUCAGGUCGCCUUCAUUUUUGUUAGGGCUUGGAUCUCCUCUAGGUUGUGGUCCAAAGACGUGGGAGCUUUCUCCCGCAUACGGGCCAUGUUGAGCCCACCCCUGUCCUGAACCAGCACCCCAUUGGCCUUGAACAGGGUACCACAGAAACACAGGCCAUUGCAUUGGACCAGAAGCAAAAGGAAAAAAAAGGACCAGAAGCCGAAGGAAAAACAGGACUAGAAACAGAAGGAAAAAUAAUGGUGUUUUGAGGAUCCUCAGGUUUUUUUAUGACUGCAUCCUCCUGCUCAUUCGGAUUGAUCUGAACCAAUGAAGCUGAAGUUUGAUCUUGAGGCAUUUCCUCCAAAGAUUGAAAAACUGCAAUAACAAUAACUCAAGAAAGAAACGAGGGCAAUUCUGAGAUCGCGGAAGCUAGGUCUGGGACCUAUGCUCUGAUACCAUGAUAGAAACUGAGGUGGAGUUGAGAGGAAAAAUAAUGUACGUAUUCUCAGUAUAUCUCUUGUACAUGUAUGUUCCUCCACUUAUAAUCUUAGUGAGAGGAAGUAAGCUGGGAAAGGAAAUAUACACUGAUUACAUAAUGAUUCUAUGUCCUAUUUUACCAAGCAAAUCACCAAUAAACCAAAUCAAUCACUAAUGCUCGGAAUGAUACUCGGAAUCGGUAUCUUCAUAUUUCCAACAUGAAUGAUACAAAUUUUAUUUGGAACAA